AAGGAAUAAGUUUUGUCAAAUACUGAGUUGUCAAUUCAGAGAGGGCCUAUGAAGCCAUUCCUUG
rnacentral:tRNA from 1 species